AUUGGCAGUUGGCCCUUCAGCUGCUGUACAGCCUCGGUAGGGGCCCAGGGGUAUUGAAUCUGGUUUUGGACCACAGGAGGAGAGUGAAGUGAAGUACAACCAAUAUUGUCAACAGCAAGAUCGUCAAAAAGUAAACUCCAUGAAGACAAGGAUGUCAUGUUUAUGUUCAUUUUGAUAGCACCUAUAAUAAUAUAUCAGCACCUGUUAUUCAACAGAAGGUCAACAAACAUUUGUUGAAUGAAGAAAAAACAAAACAAAACAAAAAACCCCUCUGCUUUUCCCCAGAAAAAGUCAGCAUCACAUUUCCGCCAUCUCAUCCACUGCCUCACAGCUUUUUCCAGGUCUUAACUUUUACAGAGCCAUUCACAAGAGAUCAACAGAUAUAAGGCAUUGGUUUCUAUUUCUUUAGAAAAAAAAGAAAAAUCUGAUACAACUUCACCAGCCAACGUGAUAUUUCUGGUUUCUUGAAUUAUUUGGCAAAGGGAAAGCACAGGUUGAACUGUUUAGAAAAGAUAAUGGAUUCUUUCUUGAAUUUGGAGGACUGGAGCCUUUACACAUGGUUUCAAAGUUGAUUGAACACUUUAAGUCCAAUGAAGGCAGAUUCUGCAAAUGCAAAGAAGUCCUAGCUGAUGUGAACCCAAAGUGUGAACACAUCACACCACAACCAUGUGGAAACAAUAGCCUGUAUGGGCAACAAAGGUUUCUAUUUAAUGAGAGAAGUGCCAUUGUUCUUGAAAGCCUAAUUUUGUAAACAUCUUACAGUGCUGACUCAUCAGUCCUGAAAAUCCAAUAAUAAAUCACCACUGUGAUUUAGCACCGGUGCUAGAAUUCAGAUCACGAAGCAUGCUACAGCAUCAGCUGAAACUCAAACAGGUCGCUGAAAGGUGCAUUUCAUCAGCAAGGAAUUUAAUUCAUAUCAAAGGAAUUCUACCCCAAAUGAGUGGCAACUGGCUACUUUUGAAAGCUGUUAACUGUUGGGGGAAAUGAGUUGUGUUAGUCCCCUAUAAAAAGGUAAUAAUCUAUAAUCCUGGAUGCUUUAAAAGUCGUUUCCUCGAACUCCACAGCAAACAAUAUAAAAUAACAACCCAAUAUAUUUGUAUCUUAAUCAUGUUUGGUAAUGAAGCCCUUUAGAUAAUUGGCACUGCUUCUGUAGUAGGCCAAACUUUCUUUCAAGUUACAAAUACUCACAAAAGGUUUACAUUAUAAGGGGCUGCUUUGGAGAUGUGCAGAUUUAGUUUGGAAGUACAAAGUGAACAUGCAAAUUGCCUUAUCUUGUGGGAUUCACAAACAAGCAUCAUUCAGAUUGAUUUAAUACAUGGCUUUUUAUCUUUAAAAGUGUUAAUUAGAAAAUAGGGACAGUUCUCUGAACACUUAAGAGUAAUAAAUAGAUCAAAACAGCAUCCAUGCUUCUGUGAUGGAACUUCUGAAGGCUUUGUAAAGGGAUUAAUACAAUUGUCAAAAAGACCACAGUAUUCAUAUUUAACAGUGCCACCAAGCAACAAUUACAUUUUUUAGGACUUUAUUGCUAAGUUUUUUAAUACUUGCUAUGCUCAGAAAACUGAGAUUUUGUACAACUUUUGUUCCAUACUUUGAAGUUACUAUUUUAAUUUUCCCACAUUGGACCUCCAAACACAUUUUUCCAGAGAACAUUCUAAAAUGGCAAGCUAAUAUAGGAAGUUAUUCAGGGAAGAAUGGAUUAUAGAAGUUCACAAAGUGGAUUACUAAGAGAAAAAUAAUUGUGAUUCAUGCAUCUUCUUUUGAAUGAAAAAUAUAAACUAUUGUCUGACAACUUGCCUCCACUUUGAAAUUUAUCUAUAAUAUGAGAAAGUGCUCGAGGAGUUAAAUCUUGACUCUGCCACUGACCACCUCAGUGAUUGAUAUGGUGUGACGGUUUGACUGUGUUCCCACCCAAAUCUCAACUUCAAUUGUAUUUCCCUUAAUUCCCACGUGUUGUGGGAAGGACCCAGGGGAAGGCAAUUGAAUCAUGGGGCGGGGGGUGGGGUGGGGGGGUGGUCUUUCCCGUGCUGUUCUCGUGAUAGUGAAUAAGUUUCAGGAGAUCUGAUGAUUUAUCAGGGGUUUCCACUUCUGCUUCUUCCUUAUUUUUCUCUUGCUGUCAUCAUGUAAGAAGUGCCUUUUGCCUCCCACCAAGAUUCUGAGGCCUCCUCAGCCUUGUGGAACUGUAAGUCCAAUUAAAUCUCUUUUUCUUCCCAGUCUCAGGUAUGUCUUUAUCAGCAGCAUGAAAACAGACUAAUACAGUGACCUUAGGUAAGUGAAAUCACAUCUCUGAGCUUCAGUUUAUCUGUAAGAUGUGCAAAACUAUAGUCUCAUAGGGUCUUAUGGUGGGGAUUAAAUAAGAUUGUGUUGAACAGUGCCUGGCACUUGAGUAAGCACCCUGUAAGUUAUGAUAAUUGAGGCAAUUGCUUGUGAAUCUUGACGGUGAUUUUCACUAGGCUUAGUUCUACGGUUAGCCUAACAUCCUCACUAUAAAUAGUUGUGAAAUGCCUCUAUAACUUUAUAAGGAAGACAAAAACACCCAGUGCAGGGUUCAUAACCUUAGCUUCUGAGUCUCUAGUGACCUUGACUUCCCCUCUCUUCAGCCAUUAGUACGAUUCAGAGGGCCAAGCCAUCCUUUGAGCCAUUUCCUUUCCAGGGCCUCUAUUCGUGUUUGUUUUAUUACUACUUCCUCUUUAUUCAAUGUCUUGAUUUAACUAAUAAGAUAUAUAGGUGGCAAAAUAGUAAACAAAUAUAAAAUACAUAAUGACAUUGUCUCUCCCCACCCCUAAUUCCUUCUUUGCCAGAAAACACAGCAUUUUGUCCCUCGUUCUAGAAAUUUUCUUUGCCUCUUGCUUUUCAUUUUUCUCUCUUCUAAAAAAACUUUUCUGGAUGACUCCUUUCAAUUCUUUAAGCUUUGUGUUUCAUUUCUUUGACCACAUGGUCCAAAGCUCCUGCUUCACCCAAUUCCUUCUGACCUAGAACCACAUUCCCCAGGCCUUUGGCCCUGGGACUGUCACCCUCUCUCUUCUUAGUCAUCAAAUGGCCCUUCCAUUUUUCUUCUCUGCCUGUCUGAUCAGUCUUUCAGUCACCCACCUACCUGCCCUCCAGAAACACUUCACUUCCUCCCCUUCUUCCGCCAUGCUAUGAAUUCAUUAACUGCUUGUCUACACUCACUUCAAGACAAUGGUAGUAGAAGGGCAAGUUACAAAACUCUAAUCUUGGAAAUCACUAUGAAUUUCUAUCAUUUCCUAUCGGCUUUGUUUUCCUCUUUUUGGUCUCAACUACCAUUAGCUUGUGUGAGCACACUGACAGGUCUGGCAAUAUACGAAAUGCUAUACAUGCAUUAUCUUAUUGAAUGUGUUCAUUAUUCCUUAAGAAAAUAAUGAGGGAACAAUUACUCCCAUUUUACAGAUGAGGAAACAUGUCUAGAGAAAUUAAGUAGUUUGUCUAAGGUCUCAUAACUUAGACUUGUGUGAGUAACUGAGGAUGCAUUCAGAAGUGGCCUGGCUAAGAGUUCAGCCACUGUGCCCUGCAGUCUCUCAUGGCCUUUCUGUUCUCUGCCAUCCCUUAAACUGAUUCUCAUCUGAUUCUAGUAGUCUAGGUGACACCCUCCACCACCAGCCAUAGCCAUCACCAGGUUAUGCUGCUUCCUAACUUACUGAGAACACGGAAGCUGCUCACAUCUUCCUUUCCAAUCGCCCUUCUUCUUCCCUUCCACACAUCUGUGAUCUACCUGUUUGUAAUUAGUUAUAAGCCAGAAGAUCUAGGCUGUCUCCCUUAUUCCUGAGCACAUAGAGACCCAGAGAGAAGAAGCACUUGUCCAGGCUUCCGUGGUGGAGUAGAAGCUAAAUGAGGACUAAAACACAGGCCUUGGAUCCUCCGUGAUCUUACUGCCCAGGGCUGCUUCCUAGAGGCUGCACUUUCAAAUGGGCUCUUGGCCAAGAUACCCUUUGUGUACUCCUUUGCCCUUCUCUUCCUUCUAUCUUGCAGUCCCAUAGUUUAAUGAAUGAUUCCUUUUUCCAUUGGUUCCUUCUCUCUGUUUACAGAAGUUUUUUUUUUUUUUUUUUUUCCUGAGAUGGAGUUUCACUCUUGUCACUCAGGCCAGAGUGCAAUGGUGCAAUCUUGACUCACUGCAGCCUCCACCUCCUCGGUUCAAGCAGUUCUCCUGCCUCAGCCUCCUGAGUAGCUGGGAUUACAGGUGGGUGCCACCAUGCCUGGCUAAUUUUUUUGUAUUUUUUUUUUAAUAGAGACGGGGUUUCGCCAUGUUGGCCACGCUGGUAUCGAACUCCUAGCCUCAGGAGACCCACCUGCCUAUGCCUCCCAAAUUGCUGGAUUAAAUGGGAGAGCCACCCCACCCAACCUGUUUACAUAAGUUUUUAUUUUCAUUACCAAGAGAUAAAAACAGAAAGCUCUCUCUUGUCUUUGCUCAUUUUCUGCCUCUCUUUCUCCCUCUCUCGGUGCAAAAUUUCAUCAGUUAGUUGUUUCCAUGCACUAUGGUUUUUUUUUUUUUUUUUUUUUUUUUUUUUUUUUUUUUGAGGUGGAGUCUUGCUCUGUCGCCCAAGCUGGAGUGCAAUGGUACGAUCUCGGCUCACUGCAACCUCUGCUUCUUGGGUUAAAGCGAUUCUUCUGCCUCAGCCUCCUGAGUAGCUGGGACUACAGGUGCAUGCCACCAUGCCCAGCUAAUUUUUGUGUUUUUAGUAGAGACAGGGUUUCACCAUAUUGGCCAGGCUGGUCUCUAAUUCCUGACCUUGUGAUCCGUCUGCCUUGGCCUCCCAAAGUGCUGGGAUUAUAGGCGUGAGCCACCGCGGCCGGCCUCCAUGCAUUGCAUUCUUUUUCACUCACUCAUUCCUUCACGUCUUGCAAUUUGACUUUCACACCAGCUUCCAUAUACCCUAGUUGAAACUCAUUCUUAAAGAUACAGUCUCUUUGUCAAAUUCAGUCUCUACAGUUCAAAAAGUUUUCACAGCUGCAGCUGCUAGAAGCCCCUGCAGGUUUAAACUCAGAUUCCUAACCUUAGGCAGAAAUUUUUGGGUCUCUAGCCCCAUGCUCUGAGACUAUACAACUAGUUAUCCAUGUUGUCCUUUUUGCCUUGACUUUCUUCCAAAUUCUUAUAUUGUCCAAUUUCUGCCUCCCAGUUUUACUUCUUGUACUGGAAUCUGUUUUGGAAUCUGCCUAGAAUCCCAUAUCAUCUAGUUUCCUGGGGCAUUGCCACUUUCACUAGAAAGCAGAAUCCCACCCCUGCAUUCCAGCCUGGCGACUGAGAUUCUCCUAACCCCUGGUUGAUGAAUAACUGGGAUGUGCCUCCACUAGCUCUACCUUUUUGAGUCUCUCAUUAUCACUUGCUCUUGGAUUCUCCAGCAGAUCACUUAAUUCUGAAGAGUGCCAGCUACAUCUCUGAACCACGCCAAUGUUCUGUUGCUCUAGUAAACUUCCUCCCAGCAAAUAGGUUUGUCCUCCUAGUGCUAGGGAGAGGUCAAAUUCCAGAUCCCAGUUUCUUCUAGAUGGCUUAUGCUAAUGUGUUUAACUGGUCCAUGCCUGGGCCUAUCAAUUGCAGACUUUAUCAAUUGCAGACUCUGUAAGCAUUAAAUCCUGCUGCUACUCCCACACUCUGGCCCCACCCAUCUUUUCUCCCUCAUUGCCUUGAAUGACAACCCAAUGUAAGUUCUCUUCCUGUGUUCCUGGUGGUGGUCUUAUUUCUUUGGUUGUUCAUAAUAUUCUCUCUUGUCUUUUUACUUUCUCUCAUUUGGAAUUCUCAUUUAUUCCUGUAACUUAGAUAUUUCACAUGUCCAAUACCACUAAUGUCAAUAUGACUGCCAAGGGCUACACAUACAUUUACAACUCUCUACUCUUGAGCUUUUUAAAAUAGAUGUCCAAGAGACACAUGCAUAUUAAUUCACCCAAUCAAUCCACCAUUUUCCAACACCAUAAAAAACCAGUUUCUCUUGCUGUUUUCUCCCUACUAUUCUAAAAACUACCAUUUUUCUAGUUAAAAUUUUGUGGUCAUGAUUGAUUUUGCUGCUUUUUACAUCCUAUCAGUCACCACAUCCAGUCACUUCCUUUUCAUUGUCAAUUGUAUCUUGGCUUUCCUUUAUUCUGGUUAAAGACUUCAUACUCUCUUAGUUGAAAGCCACAUUUUCUUGCAUGGUUUCUCCUGGCUCUGAGUUAUUCCUGUACCUGCUUUGACUCCAUGUUCCAUGUCACCAUUGGACCAACCUUUCUAGAGUGGGGUUCUAAUACAUGAUGUCUGCAAGAAUUACUUUAUAAUAUCUGGUUGCUAUAUGGAUAUUAGUUGUUCAUCUUAUUUUGUCACUGACUUGGUAAAGUAUCUUUAAGUUCUCCUGAUGCCUACUGAAUAAAGACAAAAUGUCACUGUCUAGCUUUUAAGAUCCUCUGUAAUAUUUUCUAAGUUUGCCUUUCUAGAUUUAUUUUCUACUAAUCCCAAUGGAUUACAUUCUAUCUAGCUGAAAGCCUUGCCAUGUGUUGGACACAUUCAAUUUCUUUGGUGACUUGAACUCAGGUUCAUGCCAUUCUACCCCUCCUCCACCCAACCCCAGACUAUCUCUGCCCCAGUGAGAGGGAAAUAAGCUGAACAAAUAUCUAGCAUUCUUUGGCAAAGGAUGGCUAUCAUUAAUUAAAUUUUUAGGUUCAGCAUUGGUCCAUCUGCUAGUUUUGUACUUCUUUUUUGGGUCAUGUUUGAACAUUAAGUCGUAAUCUUUCAUCCACAUGGAUAUCUUCAGAAGAAUGAAAAGUAAUACUAUUGAUCAUGUAGCAGAGAUAAAGGAGUUGGAGGGUUUCAUUGAUGACAUACUAAAUUUAAGCCAAGAGCAUAAAGUAACAAUUAAAAAGCUAGAAAUAUCUUAGGCUGCAUAGAUUGAAAUUAUCUUGUGAGAAAUUACAAUGCCCGGGCUCUUAGUAUGGCUUGGACUAUGCCAGGAUAUUAUGUCUGGGUACCCAUUUGAAGAGAAUCAUGGCAGAAUGGAGUCUGCACAGAAAAGGAUGGCCAGGAUGGUGAAAUACAGAAAUUAUUUUAUGAGUUAAAUGAGAGAAGGAACCAGGAUGAUUUAACCUGUAGAGGAGAUGAUUAGAGAAAUAAAUGUCAUCUUUAUAUGUAUGUAAGGCUAUUAUAAAGAAAAGGCAUAUGUUUGUUCAGUCAACAAAUAGAAGUAGGACAAUUAGAACUAUUUGUGAAUCAAUAUUAUAAAAACUUUCUAGCAAGACCUCUCUCUCAUUCAGAGGACAGUAAAUAGAGUCUGAGUGACCAAGAUUGCUUUAGAAGGGUUUCCUACAGCAGGAGGAGGUUGGACACAAACAACUCUUUAAAAUUUGAGAUUCUGAAAUGGAAAAAAAAAAAAAACCUCUGAGAAGUCAUUGGAAUAACUUUAUGUUAAAAAGGUAUGGACUAAGGUAGAAGUCCUGGCAAUGAAAAGACAGCCCCCACUCCUUCAAAAAAUUGUGAAUUGUGAGAGAAAUAUCAAUGAAGUUCAUAUUUGGGUGACUUGGCAAAAGUGAUCAUUUGCCUGGAGAGUUCACGGUGGCAUGGUCACUAUGAAAGAGCACAUGACCACAGAAAAACUUUGGACUGGGAUGAGUUGUCUUGGAGUAAACUGCAAUUCACCUGGGAAAGUGGUGAAAAUAUUACAGGCAUGGAAAUUCUGUAGCUAUGGGAGAAACUCAUGGUUGUGCCUAAUUCCCAGGAGACCAUUUCUGAGCAUCUACAGCAGACACAGCCCCAUGCCCACCACCUGGCCUUGAAGUUCACCUGAUGGACUUGAUACCUAUAGUCUCUUCCCUUAUGUCUCAGCUGCCUCUCUCCCCAUCUGCAUUCUAUUUUCCUUGCACAGUGUUCUGGCUAAACUCAUGGGUGCCAAGCCAUCUCUAGGAGCUGUCUGUCUCUGGUCUUCCAUUUGUCUUCAGGUUGUCAAUUGCAAUUGUGAACACAGUUGAGUUUUAUUUCUCACAGCUGCACUACCAGUGGCAUAAACUGGUGUUCAAU
rnacentral:lncRNA from 1 species